rnacentral:rRNA from 1 species
UUUAUGGAGAGUUUGAUCCUGGCUCAGGAUGAACGCUGGCGGCCUGCCUAAUACAUGCAAGUCGAGCGAACGGACGAGAAGCUUGCUUCUCUGAUGUUAGCGGCGGACGGGUGAGUAACACGUGGAUAACCUACCUAUAAGACUGGGAUAACUUCGGGAAACCGGAGCUAAUACCGGAUAAUAUUUUGAACCGCAUGGUUCAAAAGUGAAAGACGGUCUUGCUGUCACUUAUAGAUGGAUCCGCGCUGCAUUAGCUAGUUGGUAAGGUAACGGCUUACCAAGGCAACGAUGCAUAGCCGACCUGAGAGGGUGAUCGGCCACACUGGAACUGAGACACGGUCCAGACUCCUACGGGAGGCAGCAGUAGGGAAUCUUCCGCAAUGGGCGAAAGCCUGACGGAGCAACGCCGCGUGAGUGAUGAAGGUCUUCGGAUCGUAAAACUCUGUUAUUAGGGAAGAACAUAUGUGUAAGUAACUGUGCACAUCUUGACGGUACCUAAUCAGAAAGCCACGGCUAACUACGUGCCAGCAGCCGCGGUAAUACGUAGGUGGCAAGCGUUAUCCGGAAUUAUUGGGCGUAAAGCGCGCGUAGGCGGUUUUUUAAGUCUGAUGUGAAAGCCCACGGCUCAACCGUGGAGGGUCAUUGGAAACUGGAAAACUUGAGUGCAGAAGAGGAAAGUGGAAUUCCAUGUGUAGCGGUGAAAUGCGCAGAGAUAUGGAGGAACACCAGUGGCGAAGGCGACUUUCUGGUCUGUAACUGACGCUGAUGUGCGAAAGCGUGGGGAUCAAACAGGAUUAGAUACCCUGGUAGUCCACGCCGUAAACGAUGAGUGCUAAGUGUUAGGGGGUUUCCGCCCCUUAGUGCUGCAGCUAACGCAUUAAGCACUCCGCCUGGGGAGUACGACCGCAAGGUUGAAACUCAAAGGAAUUGACGGGGACCCGCACAAGCGGUGGAGCAUGUGGUUUAAUUCGAAGCAACGCGAAGAACCUUACCAAAUCUUGACAUCCUUUGACAACUCUAGAGAUAGAGCCUUCCCCUUCGGGGGACAAAGUGACAGGUGGUGCAUGGUUGUCGUCAGCUCGUGUCGUGAGAUGUUGGGUUAAGUCCCGCAACGAGCGCAACCCUUAAGCUUAGUUGCCAUCAUUAAGUUGGGCACUCUAAGUUGACUGCCGGUGACAAACCGGAGGAAGGUGGGGAUGACGUCAAAUCAUCAUGCCCCUUAUGAUUUGGGCUACACACGUGCUACAAUGGACAAUACAAAGGGCAGCGAAACCGCGAGGUCAAGCAAAUCCCAUAAAGUUGUUCUCAGUUCGGAUUGUAGUCUGCAACUCGACUACAUGAAGCUGGAAUCGCUAGUAAUCGUAGAUCAGCAUGCUACGGUGAAUACGUUCCCGGGUCUUGUACACACCGCCCGUCACACCACGAGAGUUUGUAACACCCGAAGCCGGUGGAGUAACCUUUUAGGAGCUAGCCGUCGAAGGUGGGACAAAUGAUUGGGGUGAAGUCGUAACAAGGUAGCCGUAUCGGAAGGUGCGGCUGGAUCACCUCCUUU